UCUUGCAGUCCAUGGGACUCUCAAGAGUCUCCUAUGGUGCUGGAGGAGACUCUUGAGAGUCCCAUGGACUGCAAGAAG